GAGUUGCCGGCCCAGAUGAAACACUGUAACCAGAAAAGGCUGCAGCUAAACUCCUCCCCCACCCUGCCCCCUAUGGACUUGAUUGUAAUUCUAUAUCCCCAUCCUUAAGGACCUGUGCGCCAAUGAGAUACCUGUGCAUCCCUAAUGGCCUUUGGGGCACUGCCCUAAGCUUAGAUUAUUUAGAUCCCCCACGCCACGUGUCCGAGAGAGUUUUUGCCAGAGGGAGUUCGCCAGAGAGAGUUUGCCAGAGAGAGAGAGACCACCCGCCCCGGGCGUAGAGAUGCUGCGCCCGGGGCCGGCGACGGGGGCCCCCUCCCCGCAUUCCCGGAAUAAAGCCACCGCUGACCACUACUUUCACGGCCGUCCACUCCGCUCCAUUCCUCCCACGGACUUCUCCUCUCCUCCCCCUUCUCCCAGACCUAACAGAUGGUGCCGUGGUGCCCUGUGACUCGGCGGCAGUUCUGAGACAGGUAAACCUACACAAGGUGGAGCUGCCUGCCCCCUCCAUGGACCACGCUCAAAUACAGCAAAAGAUACUGGACAAAAAAUGUCCCAUCCUGGCAUUCUUUGAGACCUUACUCCAGGGCUACUGGACUGUCCUAGCCACCAGAGAGUGGGUAAGCCAUCCUAAGUUCUAGCCCUCAUAGGAAAUGUCGACACUGCCAGAUUCGUCACCGACAGAAAAUCCGCUGCUGAAGACUAAAAAAGUUCAGGACAACAGCAGCCCCCUUUGUGGGUGUCCGUCUCAGAUUCCAAGUCACACUACAGUCUCAGAAUUCUGCCUUGCCACCUCAACAUCACCCUGAUAAAAUACCAUCUCAAAACCAAAGUCACCUUCCUAUCUACCUCACCUGGGUCCUUAAAUAUAAUAGUGCCAUGUCUCCUAAUAACAUUAUGUCUCUUUGUUUUUCCAGUCUGACACACGUACACUCACCAGUGAAGUUGUCAUGGCUAAAACACCUGGCAUCAGUGUCUACCUGGGCAUCAACCUUCAUCCCGUCAAACUCCCCUAGACCCCCAAUACAGCGCCCUCAGCCAGCAGGAAGUAGUUACAGAGAGAGAUCUUCGCCCCUUUUCCUAAUAACCAGAAGACGGGAUAUGAAAGAGUUGCCGGCCCAGAUGAAACACUGUAACCAGAAAAGGCUGCAGCUAAACUCCUCCCCCACCCUGCCCCCUAUGGACUUGAUUGUAAUUCUAUAUCCCCAUCCUUAAGGACCUGUGCGCCAAUGAGAUACCUGUGCAUCCCUAAUGGCCUUUGGGGCACUGCCCUAAGCUUAGAUUAUUUAGAUCCCCCACGCCACGUGUCCGAGAGAGUUUUUGCCAGAGGGAGUUCGCCAGAGAGAGUUUGCCAGAGAGAGAGAGACCACCCGCCCCGGGCGUAGAGAUGCUGCGCCCGGGGCCGGCGACGGGGGCCCCCUCCCCGCAUUCCCGGAAUAAAGCCACCGCUGACCACUA